rnacentral:rRNA from 1 species
CUAAGAAUAUUCCGCAAUGGACGGAAGUCUGACGGAGCGACGCCGCGUGGAUGAAGAAGGCCGAAAGGUUGUAAAGUUCUUUUGCUGGGGAAGAAUAACCGCAGGAGGGAAUGCCUGUGGGAUGACAAGAACCGGCGAAUAAGCCCCGGCCAACUACGUGCCAGCAGCCGCGGUAACACGUAGGGGGGCGAGCGUUGUUCGGAAUUACUGGGCGUAAAGGGCAUGUAGGCGGCUUGGAAAGCCUGGCGUGAAAAGUCUGCAGCUUAACUGCAGGGGUGCGCUGGGAACUGCUGAGCUUGAGUGACGGAGAGGGAGCUGGAAUUCCUGGUGUAGGGGUGAAAUCUGUAGAUAUCAGGAAGAACACCGAUGGCGAAGGCAAGCUCCUGGCCGAUGACUGACGCUGAGGUGCGAAAAGUGUGGGGAUCAAACAGGAUUAGAUACCCUGGUAGUCCACACAGUCAACGAUGUGCACUAGGUGCUGGGGCGGUAGCUUCGGUGCCGGAGCGAACGUGGUAAGUGCACCGCCUGGGGAGUAUGCUCGCAAGGGUGAAACUCAAAUGAAUUGACGGGGGUCAUANCUGUUUCC